rfam:Ascaris suum AG00369, whole genome shotgun sequence.
AAUCGUGACUCAAGUAGUUCAGGGCCUUUUUCAAGACCCGAAGGACAAUUUUUGGAGGCUCACCGGGGAUGGUGAGCCA